rnacentral:rRNA from 1 species
GUCGAGCGGGGGAUUGUAGCUUGCUACAUGACCUAGCGGCGGACGGGUGAGUAAUACUUAGGAAUCUGCCUAUUAGUGGGGGACAACGUUCCGAAAGGAGCGCUAAUACCGCAUACGCCCUACGGGGGAAAGCAGGGGAUCUUCGGACCUUGCGCUAAUAGAUGAGCCUAAGUCGGAUUAGCUAGUUGGUAGGGUAAAGGCCUACCAAGGCGACGAUCUGUAGCGGGUUUGAGAGGAUGAUCCGCCACACUGGGACUGAGACACGGCCCAGACUCCUACGGGAGGCAGCAGUGGGGAAUAUUGGACAAUGGGCGCAAGCCUGAUCCAGCCAUGCCGCGUGUGUGAAGAAGGCCUUAUGGUUGUAAAGCACUUUAAGCGAGGAGGAGGCUUACCUAGAUAAUACCUAGGAUAAGUGGACGUUACUCGCAGAAUAAGCACCGGCUAACUCUGUGCCAGCAGCCGCGGUAAUACAGAGGGUGCAAGCGUUAAUCGGAAUUACUGGGCGUAAAGCGCGCGUAGGUGGCCAUUUAAGUCAAAUGUGAAAUCCCCGAGCUUAACUUGGGAAUUGCAUUCGAUACUGGGUGGCUAGAGUAUAGGAGAGGAAGGUAGAAUUCCAGGUGUAGCGGUGAAAUGCGUAGAGAUCUGGAGGAAUACCGAUGGCGAAGGCAGCCUUCUGGCCUAAUACUGACACUGAGGUGCGAAAGCAUGGGGAGCAAACAGGAUUAGAUACCCUGGUAGUCC